GACGAACGCUGGCGGCGUGCUUAACACAUGCAAGUCGAACGGAAAGGCUCCAGGUUGCUGGCGUGCUUGAUUGGGGAACGGGGGAGUAACACGUGGGCAAACUGCCCUUCACUCUGGGAUAAGCCUUGGAAACUGGGUCUAUUACCGGAGAGGAUCUUUUGCACCACGUGGUUCGGUGGAAAGUUUUGCGGUUCAGGAUGAUCCCGCGGCCUAUCAGCUUGUUUGUGGGGUAAUGGUCUCCCAAGGCGACGACGGGUAGCCGGCCUGAGAGGGGGAACGGCGACAUUGGGACUGCGAGACGGACCAGACUCCUACGGGAGGCAGCAGUCGAGAAUAUUGCACAAUGGGCGAAAGCCUGAUGCAGCGACGCCGCGUGCGGGAUGACGGCUUUCGGGUUGUAAACCUAUGUCAGUAGGGACGAAGCGAAAGUGACGGUACCUGAAGAAGAAGCACCGGCUAACUACGUG
rnacentral:rRNA from 1 species